rnacentral:rRNA from 1 species
UACGUAGGGUGCAAGCGUUUGUCCGGAAUUAUUGGGCGUAAAGAGCUCGUAGGCGGUUUGUCGCGUCGGCUGUGAAAACCUGGGGCUCAACCCCGGGCCUGCAGCCGAUACGGGCAAACUAGAAUUCGGUAGGGGAGACUGGAAUUCCUGGUGUAGCGGUGAAAUGCGCAGAUAUCAGGAGGAACACCGGUGGCGAAGGCGGGUCUCUGGGCCGAUAUUGACGCUGAGGAGCGAAAGCGUGGGGGAGCAAACAGG